rnacentral:rRNA from 1 species
UAGGGAAUCUUCCGCAAUGGACGCAAGUCUGACGGAGCAACGCCGCGUGAGUGAAGAAGGAUUUCGGUUCGUAAAACUCUGUUGUUAGAGAAGAACAGCGCAUAGAGUAACUGUUAUGCGUGUGACGGUAUCUAACCAGAAAGCCACGGCUAACUACGUGCCAGCAGCCGCGGUAAUACGUAGGUUGCAAGCGUUGUCCGGAUUUAUUGGGCGUAAAGCGAGCGCAGGCGGUCAAUUAAGUCUGAUGUGAAAGCCCCCGGCUCAACCGGGGAGGGUCAUUGGAAACUGGUUGACUUGAGUGCAGAAGAGGAGAGUGGAAUUCCAUGUGUUGCGGUGAAAUGCGUAGGUAUAUGGAGGAACACCAGUGGCGAAGGCGACUCUCUGGUCUGUAACUGGCGCUGAGGCUCGAAAGCGUGGGUAGCAAACAGG